rnacentral:rRNA from 1 species
GAUGAACGCUGGCGGUAUGCUUAACACAUGCAAGUCGAACGGACUCUUCGGAGUUAGUGGCGGAAGGGUGAGUAACGCGUGAGAAUCUGGCUUUGGGUUCGGGACAACCACUGGAAACGGUGGCUAAUACCGGAUGUGCCGAGAGGUAAAAGAGAAAUUGCCUGAAGAUGAGCUCGCGUCUGAUUAGCUAGUUGGUGAGGUAAAGGCUCACCAAGGCAGCGAUCAGUAGCUGGUCUGAGAGGAUGACCAGCCACACUGGGACUGAGACACGGCCCAGACUCCUACGGGAGGCAGCAGUGGGGAAUUGUCCGCAAUGGGCGAAAGCCUGACGGAGCAAUACCGCGUGAGGGAAGAAGGCUCUUGGGUUGUAAACCUCUUUUCUUAGGGAAGAACAAAAUGACGGUACCUAAGGAAUCAGCAUCGGCUAACUCCGUG